rnacentral:rRNA from 1 species
GAUGAACGCUGGCGGCGUGCCUAAUACAUGCAAGUCGAGCGAACAGACGAGGAGCUUGCUCCUCUGACGUUAGCGGCGGACGGGUGAGUAACACGUGGAUAACCUACCUAUAAGACUGGGAUAACUUCGGGAAACCGGAGCUAAUACCGGAUAAUAUAUUGAACCGCAUGGUUCAAUAGUGAAAGACGGUUUUGCUGUCACUUAUAGAUGGAUCCGCGCCGCAUUAGCUAGUUGGUAAGGUAACGGCUUACCAAGGCAACGAUGCGUAGCCGACCUGAGAGGGUGAUCGGCCACACUGGAAGUGAGACACGGUCCAGACUCCUACGAGAGGCAGCAGUAGGGAAUCUGACGCAAUGGGCGAAAGCCUGACGGAGCAACGCCGCGUGAGUGAUGAAGGUCUUCGGAUCGUAAAACUCUGUUAUUAGGGAAGAACAAAUGUGUAAGUAACUAUGCACGUCGUGACGGUACCUAAUCAGAAAGCCACGGCUAACUACGUG